UACGUAGGGGGCAAGCGUUGUCCGGAUUUAUUGGGCGUAAAGAGCGUGUAGGGGCCGUACAGGUCAGCUGUGAAAACUCGAGGCUCAACCUCGAGACGUCGGUUGAAACCGUACGGCUAGAGUCCGGAAGAGGAGAGUGGAAUUCCCGGUGUAGCGGUGAAAUGCGCAGAUAUCGGGAAGAACACCCGUGGCGAAGGCGGCUCUCUGGGACGGUACUGACGCUGAGACGCGAAAGCGUGGGGAGCGAACAGG
rnacentral:rRNA from 1 species